rnacentral:tRNA from 1 species
GUCGGGGUCGCAUAAUCAGGUAUUGCGGUGGAUUGACACUCCGCUGCCUUUUUAGGCUUCCGGGUUCAAAUCCCGGCCCCGACG